CCAAGCUGGGGGCAACUUUCCCAACCUCCUGUUGGUGGGAUCCAGAUAAUAUUCAGAGCCGUGUUCCUGCUGGGAGAUGCUGACUGUAGUGAGGGAUUCAGACACAGCUUUACACCCUGCCUGAUUCGGUCCCACCACCAUGGAGGGAGGUCUGCCGUGUUCACGAGGGAAGUGUCGGAAGGCCCCUCAGCGCUUAGGUUAGAACUUCCGCCAUCAGAACUUGUCCGCAUUUGCCUGCACGGAGCUCCCCGCCACGAAGAUGGAAGUUUGGUUAAUCUUACGCAAGCUGUAAGUUCUUUGAUCAGAGCCAAUGCUGAUGGAAUUUAGGAUACAGUGUCAUUAUUUCAGUGAGGGUUUUUAACACAAGAGUUUCACACUGUUGGCAUCAGGCAGAGACAAAGUCAUGUGGGACUUACUGGCUUUCUUAGGGAAAAAGAAAGAUAAAUGAAAUUCCCCAGGGCGAGAAGGCCUGGGGAUCUGGUCCUGCGGCAAGGCAGGCCUGGGAGACAAAAGCCACUGUACCCGCAGACUUCUCCAUCACGGGCCCCGGGAGAGACAGCAGACACUAAUUAAAUCAGGGAAGAGGAAAGAGACAUA